AGCUGACAUCACAAAAAAAAUGAAAAGAAAAUGGCUGAAAGAGAAAGAUUUCACUGAUCUCUGUGUAAUUUUUAAGAUUUCUUUUUCAUCAAUCAUCUAUUUGUAAUGUUAUUUACCAAGAAUUCAAUCUACUAUUUCCGGCUAGUUAGCUCUUUUAAAUAUGGCUGUACCAGGAAACAGCGUUGCCAAUAGUACUGUUCUGUUUCGUGAAGUUCACAAGAAUGCCUGGCUCAGAAGACUCCCGACAGAUGAAAAGAAGAUUGGCGCUCAUUCUAAGAAAGGAGAGCGUGUGUGGUGCGUAUUCUGUGUGCAUGACGACGUGGAACCAUUCAUUGAGAUCUAUGGCGACCAGAAGAUGGCGGCGGCACACAAGCCUGACUGGUGCGCCUCUCUGGCGCGCGCACUGCACGUGUCACCCACCAUCUGCCCACAAGACCAACAGUUCGAGUUUGUCGUCACGCUGCCUGACACUGCGCUGCGUCUCUCUGCACCAUCAUGGGAGGUGAUGAUGGAAUGGGUGGACAGCAUAGGCUGCAAGCUGCGUGAGAUGCACGUGCUGUCGCCCAAGGAGAACGUCUACAGCCGGCAACCCGAGACGAGGGCCCCUCUGACCCCCCUGCUCCCCACCCGCGACCCCAACUCCCCCCUGCCCCUCCCGCCUAGUGUGCCCCCUAUGCUGGUGCCAGGCGUCGAGGCGCUCUCUCUCACCACCACCACCACCACCACCACCACGACAACCUCUCUCACUUCCACCCUCUACAUAUCGAACUCUCAGUCCGAUCCUGACUCACCGCUCACCCCCUCCUCGCAAAACAUCACCGUCAUCGAAGUCAGUGCCAACCCCAUCGACUAUGAGCCGUCGACUGCCGAAACUAGUUCGGGCCUUAUCACUAGUGCGCACACUCUAAUCAACCGUGAAGAUCAUGAUGAUGAUGAUGAUGAUGAUGAUACUGUUAACGACGAUGAUAGUUUAGAUGAAGAAAACAUUUUUGACGACGAUGUUGCUGCUGUAACAUGUCCCCCCUUGCCGCGGUUGCCCUCUCAGCUCAACAGAACUAAUCCUAGCUGUGAUAGAAGUAGAAAUAGUCAUAACAAUAGUAACAACAGUGCUCAGCUCACUAGUCAGCUGAUCGAAGUUGAAGCUGCGAGUGUUGCAACUACGAAUCAGUCUCAUCGCAGCUCUCGAACGACGAAUGCAAGUGCAAGUGACAUGGAAGCAACAGCAGCACCUGUGCCACCCGCCAGUCCUGCUCUCUACGAACACGUCUUCCUCUCUUCCAGUCGGCAACCGCCCACCACCUCUCCACCUCCUCCUACCAGUACUACUUCUGCUGCUGCUGCUGCUGCUACUCCUCCUCCUGUUGAUACUAAUAGUGCCUCCUCUUCCUCCCCGCCUCCACCACUGUCUGCGGAUCUCCGAUACUCUCAAGUGCAGCAAUUAUAUCAGAACGCAGUUUUCUGUGAGCGUGUGGUGCCUCCAGUGAAUGCAAUUCGACCAAGAUCUGGCUUGAGACCCAAUCGGAGAAGAAGUAGCGAUAGCUCUGUGCCAGCUGACCGCAUAAGGAGGCUGCAGGCCCCACCUCAUCCCUUCAGACAGCAGCCAAUGGCAGAGGCGGAGGGUGGCGUGACGCUUCGCGAGCGGCAGGUGACGCAGCUGCGGCGAGAGAUGGCGCAUCAGGGCGGAGUGAGGCUCCAGCUAAGAAGGAAGGACUGUCUCGGCUCCAUAGCGCUCGUCGAUGCAUUUGGAGCUGUAUGGAUAGCUGGAUGGAAACAGAAAGAGCACCCAAUGCUGUACAAUGCACUUCAUAUUGGUGAUAAAGUCAUCAGUGUAGCUGGUGUCAGAGUUCAAAACAGUUGUGAUGCUCACAAGCUAAUCAGAGGAGCUCCAAGUCUUUAUGUGGCGCUGGUGAUCAGACGGGUGCCGUGCGGCCGAGUGCUAGCGGUGCGGCGGGAGUGGGAGGGGCAGUGUGUAGGUGUGGUGCAGGAGGGGGGCACGGCCGAGAUUAAGGAGGUGGUGGCGGGGGGGCUGGCCGCUCAGGGGGGCUUGCCCCCGCGUGCCCCCACCCACGACGGCCUGUCACUGACCAGCUGGUCGCUCACUGAGAUCAACGGUCGGCCUCUCAACCUCUUCUUCAAGGACAAUGAGGUACGGGAUCGACUCAACGCCGUUGGCCUCGACAUCUCCUUCCUCGUGCAGCCCACUGACCUUGUCAAACAGAUACGGCGCCAGCUCAAGGCGCUCAGGGGAUACAAGGACUACAUUGUGCAGUAAGUUUUGAUUUGUUGCCUGCUGCUUGUGGGCCAAUGUAACUUGGAGUACGGGAUUUUGCUGGCUGGUCAUGUUGGUCUUGUGGCUCAUUGAGGUCCUCAAGGCCUAAAAGGUGCAUGCAGGACCAAGACUACAACCACUCACCUUUGUCUGUGCAGAAGCACUAAAAUACUCUCGUCCUUCAUUCCUUCAUCGCUUUCUAGUAGUCUUCAAAUGCGAAGAAGGGCUCCUUUUCCUCCAUCGCUGCCGAGGCUUCUUUUCAGGAGUUAUUUCUGGAAGUCUUGUACUUCCAUUCGUUUUCAUUAUUUUCAAUGUUUUCCCGAAAACAAGAACAUGUCCAAUUAAAAACAAUAAAAAUUACAUAGUUCCUAAUCUAAUACCAAAACCUAGUUGAUGCAACAAUGAGACAAAGAUUAGGAAACAUUGAGUGCAUUCUCUUUGUGCUAUUUUGAACUCAAAAAUAUUAUUCAUUGCUGUAUCGAAAAGACAAAAAUAAACCUACUGUACUUAUCUACAAUAAAGUACAGUACAGUAUUUUCUUUCUAGCCUUCUGACAACAGUACAGUAUGCCUCUUCAUGACUAUGCCAUCAUACCCAAUCUUGGGCUGCUCCAAUCCUGUAUUGGACUGCUCAAACUGUAUUUGACUAUUUACUUCAUUCAUAACCCCACCACUUUUAGUGGUGUAUUAUUAUUAAUAAUACUAUUCAGUUCCUAAAAUUAAUAUUGGCUUAGAAAGUUGGAAGUAGCAUUUACACAUUCAAAUAUGAGUGCAAUAAAGCAGCAAGAGUAUGACAUGACACACUUAAUGCAAAUAAGGUUAUGUAUAAAUACAGGUACAUUAAAUGAGAUUUAAAUAGUUUAAUUACAUAAUGAAUAUUACUGAAUUAGCUCAGUAUUGAGAAAUUUGCAUUACGUUAUUCAAAAUAACCUUAAUGGAAUUGAAUGCUAAUAGUUUUGCUGCAGACAAUUGUUAAACCUUUUGCAGCAAUAGUAUGACUAGCCACAAAUAUUAUUCUUUAUUCAACUCACCUCUUCUGCACCUGAUAAAUCAUGGUUUGAAGGUCGAUAGUCUUCAUCAUUAUCAGUGUUAUCAAUAUCUGAAGAGGAAUCAUCACUAUUAUUGAGUAAAGUAUUUAAAUUAAAUAACUUUCUCCUAGUACACAACGUGCUGUUAAUACUAUCCGCCAUCUUUGGAAGUGGCUUGUCACGUUCUUCAUCGAAUACAGCUUGAAUGUCUUUGGGGCAAUAAUAUGAUUUGACGUACCGUACAGUGGUGUU
rnacentral:misc_RNA from 1 species